rnacentral:lncRNA from 1 species
CUCCCUGAGGGGAAGGGCGGCGGCCACCGAGCCGCGGGGCCAGGCCGCCCGGGUGGCAGUAGGUCAGUCAGGGACAAGCCGGGCCCGGGGCGAGCUGGAAGUUUCGCUUUUUUCGGAAGAGGAAAGACACCCUCAGAUUUCAAAACAAUAGCAAUAGUAAUCCCGACUCUUAGUAAUAUCGCCGCUAUUGAGGUUUCGGGGAACCCGUAAGGUUUACUCACAGCAUCGAAAGCGUGUUGGCGACUUGCGCUAGUCCUCAGCAUCCCAUCGGGUUGGUGACGGUCACGAAAGCAAGCUUGACUGCACUAGAAUACAAAGAUGGAGCAAAGAAGGAACAGCAGUAACUGGCAAGAAAAGGAUACUUCCUGCCAACACAGCCCACACCAACCAUGCUAUGUGUCUGUUGCAAAAGAUAAAAUACAGAUGAGUAACUCCAGCAGACUUCUAAUGUUGCAUUCAACCUACUACCAGAUUUGGACUGUGAGAGGAGGAGACUGGAAAUUGCUAGUGAAGAGAAUCUCCUUCAUCUCCAGAAAACGGAUACAAAUGCAAAGCCUUGUGCAGGAGACCUGGAGAAGCAACUGACAGAGGGUAUUCUCCUCCUAAACUCGGAGGCGGUGGCAGAACACUGGCAACAUUCACUGCAGCAAAGCACGAAGUUUUGGCCACUGAAUCUUGGCUUUAUUCCCUGUGCUCUCUCUAGCUCCACCCUCAUCAUUCUUGCCUGUGCUGUUGUUGAGAACGCUGCUAUAAACAGUGGCCAGGGUAGGAAACCUGUCCUGGGCAUGCUCUUUAACAAAAUAUGCUGAGCUAAAGAAGAGUUAGAACAAGGUAAGACACUUAACAGAAUGCUUAUUAAAUUAAACGUGAAAAAUUUGGAAAGGAGAAUAAAGCAUUAUCAGUCAGGACCA